rnacentral:snRNA from 1 species
GGAUGUAAGGACAAUCUGAUUUCGACAUCUGUCACCCCAUUGAUUUGGCUGAUCUGGCUUGCUUACAAGUGACCCAUUAUCUUCCUCGCUGUUCUGUGUCUGAGCCCCCCAAAGCUUUCACACUCAGUGAAAGAGAUGGCCUUCCCCCAACAGAGACAGACUGAACUAGGGUAUACGAGUAGUUGCAUUCUUUUACUAAAAACUCCAUGUAAGCCCUCAAGAUUCAGAAUGUCACAUAUAUCAUGUGCAAGUUUUGGAGUUGAGAAACCUUUCCUU